rnacentral:lncRNA from 1 species
GGUCCCAACCGUUGAUAGAAAAGCACUAGCUAGGUGAAAGGUGGUGUUUCCGGCGGCGUGUUUGUUUUGGACGUAAACCUUUUGGCCGGAACCCAGAAAAUAUUGUGAGAAACAGGAGGAACGAUGUCUUCUCCUCAUAACUCUUCUCCCGAUAACUCCACACCGGAUAACUCAACACCCGAUAACAGUACACCUGAUGAUGCCGAUGGCUCUUCUUCGCCGCCAUCGCCUCCAUCACAAUCCCCACCUCAACAAUCCCCACCUCAACAAUCACAAUCACCCUCACCACCACCGCCAUCAGAGAACUCAACACCACCCCCUUCUCCUCCUCCACCGAGUUCAGGAAACAACCCAACCCCUCCAUCAUCCAAUGGGUCCCCACCUCCUCCUCCAGUAUCAGGCCAUUCUGACUCUGGUUCACCCUCGCCUCCACACAAAUCAUUGCCAACUCCCCCUUCCUCGGGAAACUCCAGUGACAACAAUGACAUUAGCAAUAAGGCAUUAGUUGGAGCAGUGCUUGGGGUAGGGGCCGUUCUUCUCAUUAUGGUAGUUGUUUGCGUUAUUUGCUCAAGGAAGAAGAAAAAAACCAAGCAAAUGUACUAUUAUGGAGAGCAUCCAUCUAUGGGAAAAG